rnacentral:piRNA from 1 species
UUCAAAGCCUCUGGGAAGGCCCUAGCUGG